GACAUCGAUGUCUAGGGGUUCUGAGAGGAUUAUCCCCCACACUGGUACUGAGACACGGACCAGACUCCUACGGGAGGCAGCAGUAAGGAAUAUUGGUCAAUGGGCGCAAGCCUGAACCAGCCAUGCCGCGUGCAGGAUGACUGCCCUAUGGGUUGUAAACUGCUUUUAUAUGGGAAAAAAUACAGGAACGUGUUCUUGUUUGAUUGUACCAUACGAAUAAGGAUCGGCUAACUCCGUGCCAGCAGCCGCGGUAAUACGGAGGAUCCAAGCGUUAUCCGGAUUUAUUGGGUUUAAAGGGUGCGCAGGCUGAGAAAUAAGUCAGUGGUGAAAUCCUAUGGCUCAACCAUAGAACUGCCAUUGAAACUAUUUCACUAGAGUGCAGUUGAAGUGGGCGGAAUGUGUCAUGUAGCGGUGAAAUGCAUAGAUAUGACACAGAACACCGAUCGCGAAGGCAGCUCACUAAGCUGUAACUGACGCUCAUGCACGAAAGCGUGGGUAGCGAACAGGAUUAGAUACCCUGGUAGUCCACGCCGUAAACGAUGAUUACUCGUUGUUGGCGAUACACAGUCAGCGACUGAACGAAAGUAUUAAGUAAUCCACCUGGGGAGUACGAUCGCAAGGUUGAAACUCAAAGGAAUUGACGGGGGCCCGCGCAAGCGGAGGAGCAUGUGGUUUAAUUCGAUGAUACGCGAGGAACCUUACCUGGACUUAAAUGCAGAUUGCUGAUAAAAGAAAUUUUAUUUUCCUUCGGGACAAUCUACAAGGUGCUGCAUGGUUGUCGUCAGCUCGUGCCGUGAGGUGUCGGGUUAAGUCCCAUAACGAGCGCAACCCCUACUCUUAGUUACCAUCAGGUUAAGCUGGGGACUCUAAGGGAACUGCCUACGCAAGUAGAGAGGAAGGUGGGGAUGACGUCAAAUCAGCACGGCCCUUACGUCCAGGGCUACACACGUGCUACAAUGGCCGGUACAGAGGGCCGCUACCUGGUGACAGGAUGCUAAUCUCAAAAACCGGUCUCAGUUCGGAUCGAAGUCUGCAACUCGACUUCGUGAAGUUGGAUUCGCUAGUAAUCGCAUAUCAGCCAUGAUGCGGUGAAUACGUUCCCGGGCCUUGUACACACCGCCCGUCAAGCCAUGGAAGCUGGGGGUACCUGAAGUUCGUAACCGCAAGGAGCGACCUAGGGUAAAACUGGUAACUAGGGCUAAGUCGUAACAAGGUA
rnacentral:rRNA from 1 species